AUUGAACGCUGGCGGCAUGCCUUACACAUGCAAGUCGAACGGUAACGGGCCUUCGGGUGCCGACGAGUGGCGAACGGGUGAGUAAUACAUCGGAACGUGCCCGAUCGUGGGGGAUAACGAGGCGAAAGCUUUGCUAAUACCGCAUACGAUCUACGGAUGAAAGCAGGGGACCGCAAGGCCUUGCGCGGACGGAGCGGCCGAUGGCGGAUUAGGUAGUUGGUGGGAUAAAAGCUUACCAAGCCGACGAUCUGUAGCUGGUCUGAGAGGAUGAUGAGCCACACUGGGACUGAGACACGGCCCAGACUCCUACGGGAGGCAGCAGUGGGGAAUUUUGGACAAUGGGCGCAAGCCUGAUCCAGCCAUGCCGCGUGCAGGAUGAAGGCCUUCGGGUUGUAAACUGCUUUUGUACGGAACGAAAAGCCUUCUUUUAAUACAGGGGGGUCAUGACGGUACCGUAAGAAUAAGCACCGGCUAACUACGUG
rnacentral:rRNA from 1 species